AUGAGAGCUUCUGGAGACAUUAUUCUCACUCAGUCUGGGUCUAAGUCAGUUCAACUCAGUCAGACAGUCACCAUUGACUGCAAGUCCAGCUCUGAAGUUUACAGAUAUCCAGAAGGUUCUGUAUCUAAAGAUUACUACGUCUCCUGGUAUCUUCAGAAAGCUGGAGAAGCUCCUAAACUCCUGAUAUAUUACACCACAAUGAGAUCUUCUGGAGUUUCCUCUAAAUUCACAGGUGGAGGCAGUUAUUCAGCUGGAGGGAAUGGUCUUGAUUUCUCUCUGGCCAUCAGUGGAGUCCAGGCUGAAGAUACUGGAGCUGUAUGGGAGCUGACAGUGGAGAGUUUUAACACAGUGAAAAAGUCUUGUACAAAACCUCCCUUAGUCAGACAGUACAGAAAUCUACUGCAGGAGGGGAGAUGA